CUGGCGGCAUGCCUAAUACAUGCAAGUCGAGCGAAUGAUGAAGAAGCUUGCUUCUUCUGAUUUAGCGGCGGACGGGUGAGUAACACGUGGGCAACCUACCCUAUAGAUUGGGAUAACACAGGGAAACCUGUGCUAAUACCGAAUAAUACCUUUCUCUUCAUGGAGGAUGGUUGAAAGAUGGUUUCGGCUAUCACUAUAGGAUGGGCCCGCGGCGCAUUAGCUAGUUGGUGAGGUAAUGGCUCACCAAGGCAAUGAUGCGUAGCCGACCUGAGAGGGUGAUCGGCCACACUGGGACUGAGACACGGCCCAGACUCCUACGGGAGGCAGCAGUAGGGAAUCUUCCACAAUGGGCGAAAGCCUGAUGGAGCAAUGCCGCCGUGAGUGAUGAAGGAUUUCGGUUCGUAAAACUCUGUUGUAAGGGAAGAACAAGUAGCGUAGUAACUGGCGUUACCUUGACGGUACCUUAUUAGAAAGCCACGGCUAACUACGUGCCAGCCGCAGC
rnacentral:rRNA from 1 species